AGUGAACGCUGGCGGUAGGCCUAACACAUGCAAGUCGAACGGCAGCACAGUAAGAGCUUGCUCUUACGGGUGGCGAGUGGCGGACGGGUGAGGAAUACAUCGGAAUCUACUUUUUCGUGGGGGAUAACGUAGGGAAACUUACGCUAAUACCGCAUACGGCCUACGGGUGAAAGCAGGGGAUCUUCGGACCUUGCGCGAUUGAAUGAGCCGAUGUCGGAUUAGCUAGUUGGCGGGGUAAAGGCCCACCAAGGCGACGAUCCGUAGCUGGUCUGAGAGGAUGAUCGGCCACACUGGAACUGAGACACGGUCCAGACUCCUACGGGAGGCAGCAGUGGGAAAUAUUGGACAAUGGGCGCAAGCCUGAUCCAGCCAUACGGCGUGGGUGAAGAAGGCCUUCGGGUUGUAAAGCCCUUUUGUUGGGAAAGAAAAGCAGCAGGUUAAUACCCCGCUGUUCUGACGGUACCCAAAGAAUAAGCACCGGCUAACUUCGU
rnacentral:rRNA from 1 species